AGUGAACGCUGGCGGUAGGCCUAACACAUGCAAGUCGAACGGCAGCACAGUAAGAGCUUGCUCUUACGGGUGGCGAGUGGCGGACGGGUGAGGAAUACAUCGGAAUCUACUUUUUCGUGGGGGAUAACGUAGGGAAACUUACUCUAAUACCGCAUACGACCUACGGUUGAAAGCAUGGGAUCUUCUGACCUUGCGCGAUUGAAUGAGCCGAUGUCGGAUUAGCUAGUUGGCGGGGUAAAGGCCCACCAAGGCGACGAUCCGUAGCUGGUCUGAGAGGAUGAUCAGCCACACUGGAACUGAGACACGGUCCAGACGCCUAAGGGAGGCAGCAGUGGGGAAUAUUGGACAAUGGGCGCAAGCCUGAUCCAGCCAUACCGCGUGGGUGAAGAAGGCCUUCGGGUUGUAAAGCCCUCUUGUUGGGAAAGAAAAGCAGCAGGUUAAUACCCCGCUGUUCUGACGGUACCCAAAGAAUAAGCACCGGCUAACUUCGUG
rnacentral:rRNA from 1 species